rnacentral:lncRNA from 1 species
AUGACCACUCCUGGCUUGCUGCCUUCAUGCUGGGAAAUUCUCUUCAGUUUCAUCUCAAGAGUAACUGCCUUCCUUUUCUUCUCACUGGAAGCAGGAGACACAGAUUGGCGUUUUGUAGACAUGACGGUAUUUGAAAACACAAAACACAAUAUCCAAAAAAAAAAAAAAAAAAACAAACCACUGACCACUUGGUCCACUAUAGAGCAUCGGUCACUGACGCUGUUGAUUGCCUGGUUGACUGGGAGCUGUGGCUCACUGCUGUUGUCCAGCAUCAUGAGAGAGUCUCAUAUUGCGUAUUGCCAGCCCAGGAAAAGAUCAACAUUCAAAAUUCCAAGUAUGGUUUCUUCUGAAUGCAUAUUGCCUUUUCAUUAUCAUAAAGUCAUAAGUCAAGCCAUCUUAAGUCGGAGACAGUCUGCCCCAACAGAUGCAUUAUGAAGCUGUUUGUAAAGUGCUGUGAAGGCAACUUGUUCCAAGAGCCAUUAAUUCUGUUUUCUCUAGGAAUCCUAGAGGAGUGGAAUCCGAGCAAUGCAAGGGGCAGAGUGGACUGGAUAUGUGAUGCACUUUCAGAUCUUCCAUUAGGACUGAAGGACAAAUUCCUCUUGCUGCUGGGAAUGCUGCCGGAAAGGGGGCUCUCCGUCUUUUUAGGGGAUUGCCUUGGGUGAUAAACUUCCUUGACUAAGGGACAGUCUACAUCCAAUAACUGACCAAUGAUGGGGCAUAUAGGUUUGGUCCCCUCACCUCUAUUCAGUUAAACUCUGAAGAGCUUUUCCCGAAAUCCAUAGCUCCCUUGAAGAUUGGCUGAGGACUUUGUCGGGAUAUACCACAGCUCGCCUUCUCUCAAUCUUGCAUCUCCCUCUGCCCAAUCUUGCUUCCUUUCUCUCCCUUUAACAGGUAUUGAUCCUGAGCCUAUUCUCUAAUACACAUCUUAAAUACUAAUCUCCAUCUCAGAGACUGCUUCCUAAGGAAUGCCUUCAAAAUGGAAUCAAAACCAAAAGGCAUGUUUUCGACAGCCAAGUGAUUUCUUUGAGGGAAGCAGUGAAUCGAUUGGUGUUCAGAUAUGCCCUCUUCAAUUCACAGGGAAUGACUUCCUUAAUGCAGAACUUCACCAAAACUGAUGCCAAUGUACUUUCCCACUUUACAUCAUGGCUCACAAGAUAAGUGUUGACCAAAUGAAAAUCAUCUUCUCUUACAGCAUAGAUUUUCACUGAUAAAUAAUACCUACUUUACGAUGCCUCUGUAGUGUUGUGUUUUCCAUUACUUUUAGCUACAAAAUUCUUCAAUUUUGUAUUGGGAAGCACUUGUAAUGCUUGCACUUGUUCCGGCAAAACUUUAUUGUUCCAUCAGAGAAGUCACUAUACUUUGUUGGAAAAUGACACUGAAGCUUUUGUGGCUUCUUGCUGUUAUUGAAAAAUAUUUUAUAACAGAUGCCACCCUGGAGGCAUAGGGGCAAACAUAUUACCAUCUGAUACAACCCGAUUUUCGGAGUUUUCUGGUCAUACUUCCUAUUCUUGACUUACAGUCUUACAUUUUUGUUAGCUUGUUCUUACUUCUCCCAGCAAAUACUGCUUCACAGCUCUUUGUUGGUCCUUGAACCUGUUCUCUCUUUACAGUCAGAUGUUAUCGUCUUGAGUUAUAAUAUCUAUGUUACGCUUUUCAUCAUCAUCACUUUUGAUCCACUGAUACAUUUUAGUAAAUUAGAGAAAAUCACAACAUUAACUACUAAAGAUACAAAUUCAGUAAAUGAAAACAGCGACAUAUGUUAUCUGAGACAAAAUACACACCAUGUAAAUGAAUGGUUGGCCUAGAUGAACUGAUGUGUUGCUGGGGGUAAUCUAAGCAUUCAAGGAUCUCAUUUGGAGCAAUCACACCCUGGCUUUUUCCACUUCCCCUUCUUCCUUUUUCCCUUUGUUGGUCCUAUCUGGACUCCUUGCCUACUUCUUUCCCUUCCUCGUUCCUCUGUUUUCUUUUUGAGAGUUGAAGAACAUUAAAAUAGAAAGAGACCUUGGAGAUCUUAAAAUCUAAUGAUCUCAUUUUACAGAUGAGGAAACUGAAGUCCAGAGAGAUACAACGAACUUCUCCAAGUCAGAGGGACGAGAUCUGGCCUCCUGGCUUCUCUGACUCAUGGGCCAAUGCUUUUCCAUUUUGCCACGAUCCAGUAAACUUUCUCCUGCAGAUUAUCUUUCUGGUUCUCUUGUCAUUGACAGUGGUUGAAUCCAUAGUGGUUAAGAACAAAGGAGAGAGGCGUUUACGGAAGUCAUAACUUCCUCCUUUCCCUCCCUCUCCUUCCUUCUUUCCCUCCCUCCUUCCUCCCCUCUCUCCUUCUUUCCUUCCCUCCCUCUUUCUUUCCCUCCCUCCCACUACUGCCGGAAUGGCCUGAUAAUGUCACUCUCUCUUCUACUCUUUGGUGACUUUUAAAUCCCUAUAGGAUAAAGUUCAGUCUUCUACCUGGACAUGUGACAGUCAAGUCAUUUUUGUGUUCUGACUCUUACCCUCCUGUUGAGUCUUAUCUUCAUCACUCUAUAUAUUAGCCAGGCUGGUUUAUGAUAUACCAACAAACAGGUCCAAAAUCUCAGUGGCCUAACACAACAAAGAUUUAUUUCAUAUUUGUAAAAAGUCCACUGCAAGUCUGGCUGACUUUCCAGAGGAACUAUUCUUUAUGUAGUGACUCAGAGAUCCAGCCUUGACCACACGAUUUUUCCAUUUUCACCAGAUUUCCUCCUUGCCAUGGAGGAGGAAGAGACAAGAAGAUAGCGCUCAAGUAGGGAAUGAACUCUUCUGUGCUUAUCCUGAAAAGAAUGCCCAAUUUUAUCAGGCAGAGUUUAUCAUCUAACUGCAAGAGGCCAGUGCUGGAAUGUUUGCGGAGGAUCUUCAUGUUUCUGCCAUGGCCCUUCCUUGCAACUACAGU